UACAGAGGGUGCAAGCGUUGUUCGGAAUUAUUGGGCGUAAAGAGCGCGUAGGCGGUCUGCUAAGUCUGGUGUGAAAGCCCUCGGCUUAACUGAGGAAGUGCAUUGGAUACUGGUAGGCUUGAGUAUGAGAGAGGAUUGUGGAAUUCCUGGUGUAGCGGUGGAAUGCGUAGAUAUCAGGAGGAACACCGGUGGCGAAGGCGGCAAUCUGGAUCAUAACUGACGCUGAGGCGCGAAAGCGUGGGUAGCAAACAGG
rnacentral:rRNA from 1 species